GGUUUAUUUUUUUAUAGUUUGCACAUCCGAUGAUGAUCCAGUGGUAGACCAAACUGAAUUUUUUGUAAAAGGCACUUUGUUAUGGCAGGAAAGUUCGGUGGUUUAGCUUUUGGAUAUGGUAUUGUAAGCAUGAGAGUUGGCCUUGGCCUGCGUUCUGUUGAGAUUCAGCCUUUGCUCCAACAAUU
rnacentral:rRNA from 1 species